rfam:Penicillium camemberti str. FM013
GCAGUGGUAACUCAGCGGUAGAGUGUGAGAUUGCAAAUAUGCAUCUAUCUUGAAGUCCCGUGUUCGAUCCACGGUCACUGCU